rnacentral:rRNA from 1 species
UGUACACACCGCCCGUCACACCAUGGGAGUGGGUUGCAAAAGAAGUAGGUAGCUUAACCUUCGGGAGGGCGCUUACCACUUUGUGAUUCAUGACUGGGGUGAAGUCGUAACAAGGUAACCGUAGGGGAACCUGCGGUUGGAUCA